GUGUGACAUCAGCGGUCAUGGAGAGUCUCCAUCCAGCUGGAUCACUGUCACAGGGGAAGACACCACCACACCUCCACCUACAUCCACCUCUCCUCCCGUUCUCUCUGUGCUGUCAUGUGUUCGAUUAGUCUGUGUUGUGGUUCUACUGGUGUUACUGGUUCUGCUGGUGAGAAGAUAUGUUCACAAGAAACCUGAAGACUUUAAACCAGAGCCAGAUGUCGUCUACUCUUCACUGAAGUAGUCCACCAGUCCAACCACUGACGUCCAGCUGCUGGUCUCUAACUGGUCCCCCCAGCACCUAAGACCAGAGGACAUCCACAUGUUCAAAAGAUUGCUCUAUGUAUUUUCUCUCCCUUUUUCCACUUAUUUAAACUCAUGUGCGUUAAAAUCACUCAAGUUUAACUGGAGUUAACAAUAAUAAAAUGUUUUAUGGCCAAAAUAAGUUUUCUGUUACUCAUACUCAGUGUAUGAGUUUGGCACUUUGUUCUUUUUCCCAUAAUAGUGAUUUUGUUUCCUUGUAGGAUUAAAAAACUGUUGUUCUCACUUGUUUUUCUCAUGUGAUUUUUUGGGUUACACCAAAGUAUCAGAUGGCAAAACAGCUGCGAUGGUUUAGUUGUGGUUAACUGUGUGGGGGGGGGGGGGUUUCAGUCCAGAAAACAAAGAAUUACAAUUAAAACUGAACUUGUCAUGGGUUUAACACCACAGAAACAAGCUCCAGUACAGAUUAUGAGCAGGGCUGUAACCAGGGUUUAGAAAUUUUCCUCUUACUAUUUCACAUUAAAGGUGCAGCACCUGUCAUCCAGUUGCCAUUAAAAAAGGCCUGAACUCUGAAGAGACAAUCUGUCAUGGUCCCUGUGCCCCGCUGGGCGACCCUCUAUUAGGCAAUAUGUUUGUGGGUUUUUUGCUCUCUCCCCCUCUCGCUCUCUCUCUCUCUCUUGCCGCGGCGACGCUCAUUGCGGGCUCCCGCUGCUGGCCCACACACCUGCUCUCAUCAUCGCACCGGCCGCUGAUUCCAGCUGAGUACUGCACUACUUAAGAUGGCGAGUCUGCACUAGUCUUCGCUGGAUCGUUGAGCUAUCAGCAUCGUUUUUGGAAACCAGAUUCUGAGAGGAGUGACUGAGGAGGAGUUUUUGUACAGAAAGUGUGGAGCACCUUUUCCCCAACCCUGUUUCUCCACGGACCCUGGCGACCCGGACCCCUUUCCCCUGCACGUUGUAUAUAGCCACUUGGUGAUUGUGUUCACUGUGAAUAAACGCACUGUUCUUCGCUUAAAGGAACAUCCUGACCUGCGCCUGAGUCUCUUUCGGAAACCAUAUCACAAUCAUUGCAAUACAGUCAAAACAAUAAAUUUUAAAAACAGUAAAAAAAAUAUUUUGUACAGCUCCCAUCUUUUGCAGGAGCAGCUGUGUUUGUAUAAAUAUGGAAGAGGAGAAGUUGUUUACUUGAUGACUCUGGCCCUAAACCAAGCAGUUAUCAGUCCUUAUAUGAGUCAUGCACAACCCAGUAUUUUCAAAGUAAAAGUCUUUUAUUCUGUCACACGUUGGUUUGUGCCAUUUUUUUUUAAUAUAUACUGUUUAAAAAAUAUUGACCUCAGUGACCUUAUAAUUUGUUGUUAUUUAUAUUCAGUGGAUUAACAGAUUGUUAAUGUUAAUCAAUCUGAACCAGGAUUAAAGCUUCACUUUGCUGGUUACAGAUGAAUGCCAUGUGGAGUUAGUGUGAAGCAUCUGAUUUACUGUUGGCUGGUUUCAUCUGUGAAAACACAUCAUAUUAAAUGAAUUUAAGAUAAGCUGUCAGACUUUAUCUAACACAAUAUAAAGAAUAAAAUCACCUCAAUCAACAAGAUCAAAUGUACUCAGUUACUCUCCUGUACUCUAAGUACAGUCAUGCGAUUGACAGGAAGUGCUGCAGCAGCUGCAUGCUCUCUCUCCCUGCAGACUAUUUGCUGCUGCUCGUCUUGUCCAUGUUUUCUCUGUGUCUGUUUCUGCUGCUUCUUUGUCCUCACUGUAAACAGAUGUACUGAGAGACUCCUGCACUGAUGUUUCAUAGGAAAGUCCAAACAGCCUCACUGGUUCUCCAUGAAGAACAAAGAUUUGCUCUCUGUGGCUCCAACACAACUUAAAGACAAUCAAAGGUGGACAAAGUUCUCCAG